CCCUUAGAUGUUCUGGGCCGCACGCGCGCUACACUGAUGCAUGCAACAAGUCUUUUCCUUGGCCGAGAGGUCUGGGCAAUCUUUGAAUAUGCAUCGUGAUGGGGAUAGACGAUUGCAAUUAUUCGUCUUCAACGAGGAAUUCCUAGUAAACGCAAGUCAUCAGCUUGCAUUGAUUACGUCCCUGCCCUUUGUACACACCGCCCGUCGCACCUACCGAUUGAAUGGUCCGGUGAAGGCUUCGGAGGCGGCUUUCUCAAUGUUUAUUCGGCGAGACUGCUGCCAAAGUUGAAUGAACCUUACCAUUUAGAGGAAGGUGAANUCGUANCA
rnacentral:rRNA from 1 species